rnacentral:piRNA from 1 species
UACAAUGUGAUUUGGGUGGCUGUCUGUG